rnacentral:rRNA from 1 species
UGGGGAAUAUUGGACAAUGGGCGAAAGCCUGAUCCAGCCAUGCCGCGUGUGUGAAGAAGGUCUUCGGAUUGUAAAGCACUUUAAGUUGGGAGGAAGGGCAGUAAGCGAAUACCUUGCUGUUUUGACGUUACCGACAGAAUAAGCACCGGCUAACUCUGUGCCAGCAGCCGCGGUAAUACAGAGGGUGCAAGCGUUAAUCGGAAUUACUGGGCGUAAAGCGCGCGUAGGUGGUUCGUUAAGUUGAAUGUGAAAGCCCCGGGCUCAACCUGAGAACUGCAUCCAAAACUGGCGAGCUAGAGUAGGGCAGAGGGUGGUGGAAUUUCCUGUGUAGCGGUGAAAUGCGUAGAUAUAAGAAGGAACACCAGUGGCGAAGGCGACCACCUGGGCUCAUACUGACACUGAGGUGCGAAAGCGUGGGGAGCAAACAGG